rnacentral:rRNA from 1 species
AUGUGUACGAGAAAGCAUGAAGGAGGAAUGGGUUUUAGAGAUCCGGAGGCUUUCAACCAAGCUAUGCUUGCCAAACAAGCUUGGAGACUAUUCCAGGAACCCGCCUCACUAUGUGCUCGAGUGUUGAAAGCCAGGUAUUAUGUUGAUGGAUCCAUUUUAAAUGCAUCUUGUCCAAGUGGUGGCUCGUACACGUUCAAGAGCAUUUUGCACGGG